GACGAACGCUGGCGGCGUGCUUAACACAUGCAAGUCGAGCGGAAAGGCCCCUUCGGGGGUACUCGAGCGGCGAACGGGUGAGUAACACGUGAGUAAUCUGCCCUUCACUUCGGGAUAGCCCCGGGAAACUGGGAUUAAUACCGGAUAUGACGCGCCCCUGCAUGGGGUGUGUGGAAAGUUUUUUCGGUGGAGGAUGUGCUCGCGGCCUAUCAGCUUGUUGGUGGGGUAAUGGCCUACCAAGGCUUCGACGGGUAGCCGGCCUGAGAGGGUGACCGGCCACACUGGGACUGAGACACGGCCCAGACUCCUACGGGAGGCAGCAGUGGGGAAUAUUGGACAAUGGGCGGAAGCCUGAUCCAGCAACGCCGCGUGAGGGAUGACGGCCUUCGGGUUGUAAACCUCUUUCAGCGCCGACGAAGCGAGAGUGACGGUAGGCGCAGAAGAAGCACCGGCCAACUACGUG
rnacentral:rRNA from 1 species